rnacentral:tRNA from 3 species
GGGGGCAUAGCUCAGUUGGUAGAGCGACAGCUUUGCACGCUGUAGGUCAGGGGUUCGAAUCCCCUUGCCUCCA